CGGCGCAAGUUGCCGCCGCCGCCACUCGGCCAACGGUUCUUCACAUCACAAAACAAGCUCCGCCACCAGUUUACCUCCCUCCCUCCCUCUCUCCAACUUCUCACUGCGCUGACAUUCAUUCCAAAUGACGAACACUUCUUCAAACCAUUCCAGUCCGAACGAUUCAGCAGUACACCAAUUGCGCCGAGCUUUCACAUUGAAAUGUACCCAACUGGCCCACGUCUUUGCAGGAUGACCAUCUGUAGCGAGGAAGCCCUACCAACCAUCUGAAUAGAGUGGCAUCACUGAGGGAUUGUGUCCAGCUGCAUUUAUGUCCAGUGGAGCAUCAUGCUGGAUUGUUAAAGUCCUAAUCACCACUUUUCAGGACAGAAGUCAACAGGAUUCAAAAUGCUACACUUGACCCAAUGUGAAUUUGAUAAUUAAGUUGAAAGCUUGAGGUCUUGUUGCCUUUUCACCUCAGAGAACAACCAUUAGCUGUUUCAGUUUUCGUGCACCUGUGCUGAUUAUUGUCUGUAUAAACACUUCCAGCUAUUGACUGACUUGUUGGUUCUUUCUUAAAGUGAACUCCUGAUUGCUGUUAUGCGAUUCUUGUCCUCGUCACUGGAUGUAGUGGUGCUUGGAAGACUGGACUCCGCGUCGCCAUCACAUGCUCAGUUGACUCAUGUGCAUUCUUGUGAAGAGCUUUGUGAAAGAGAAUGGAAUAAAUGAUUGGAUUACAUUCUGUACAGUGUGGAAAGAAGCCAUGUGGCCCACAACUCCACACCAACCAUCUGAAGAGUAAUCGACCUAUCCCUGACUAAUGCACCUAACACUAUAGGCAAUUUAACAUGACCAAUUCACCUGAACUGCACAUCUUUGGACAGUGGGAGGAAAUCGGAACACCUGGAGGAAACCCAUGCAGACACAGGAAGAAUAUGUAAACUCCACACAGACAGUCGCCCGAGGCGGGAAUCGAACCUGGGUCUCUAGGGGUAUGAGGCAGCAAUACUAACCGCUGAGCCACCAUGCCGCUCUACUAUUGGAAAGUGAAUCGUAAUGAGUGCAUAUUUUACUUCCUGGUUUGUGAUCUGAAAAUUGUUGCUAGCUGUCUAGAAAUCAUCUUGAUUUAGUGCUAGAUUUAAACCUGUGUUGGAAGGAUGAAGUCUGCAGUUCAGAGAUUUUAGAUCUUUGUGGGCAGCUUCAAGGUCAAUGGCAAAUGCAAUUGUUUCACCAAUGAUUACAAAAUCUGGCCAUUACUUAUGCAAAUAUGUUGUAAUGAUUGCAAUGAGGUCAGCCAAGUGGACCUCAUAGGAUAUGUGUUUCCGGAUUGGGGGUGUAAAUCUGGUCCAAUCAGAGAGCCCUCGCUGGUAGAUAAAAGCAGGAGUGUCAGACAUCCUGACACACUGAGAGCUGACUCUAAGGGUGCUUGAUCUGUGUCAAGGACUUUCAGCUUGUAA